GUAAUGCAUAGGAAACUGCCCAGUAGUGGGGGAUAGCCCGGGGAAACCCGGAUUAAUACCGCAUACGCCCUUUGGGGGAAAGCAGGGGAUCUUCGGACCUUGCGCUAUUGGAUGUGCCUAUGUGACGCAACGCGAAGAACCUUACCUGGCCUUGACAUGCAGAGAACUUUCCAGAGAUGGAUUGGUGCCUUCGGGAACUCUGACACAGGUGCUGCAUGGCCGUCGUCAGCUCGUGUCGUGAGAUGUUGGGUUAAGUCCCGUAACGAGCGCAACCCCUAUCCCUAGUUGCUAGCAGUUCGGCUGAGAACUCUAGGGAGACUGCCGGUGACAAACCGGAGGAAGGUGGGGAUGACGUCAGGUCAUCAUGGCCCUUACGGCCAGGGCUACACACGUGCUACAAUGGCGCGCACAGAGGGCUGCAAACCCGCGAGGGGGAGCCAAUCUCACAAAACGCGUCGUAGUCCGGAUCGGAGUCUGCAACUCGACUCCGUGAAGUCGGAAUCGCUAGUAAUCGUGAAUCAGAAUGUCACGGUGAAUACGUUCCCGGGCCUUGUACACACCGC
rnacentral:rRNA from 1 species